UAUGAUCUGCUUUUUUCCCGCUUGCCUCAUGACUCGGAGAGGGACAUAAGGGUAGGUUCCUCUUAAGCCGAUGAGUACAAGGAAUGGCGCAUCCCUAGACUGGAUGAUAAACUCCCCAGUUGGAAACCACUCGUACAACCAUUGUACCUACUCUUCUUUCAGAUUCUCCAAUAGUUCCACCUAUCUGCUGGCAUCUUCCGGGUGAGCGAACAUAUCCGACAUGAAGUGCAUUCACUUUGGAUGAUGGAAAGCGAUACGGUUAUCCCAGUCUCGGCGUAUAAUCUCUUGUCUAUAAUCUCCCAUAUGGAGAUGUUCAAUGAGCCAGAGUUGUCGUAGCAAAAUGCACCAUUCAAAGUGUGGUUCCCCUUGUUGACAUUUCUCUAAGGCUCG
rnacentral:lncRNA from 1 species